GGGGGAUUAAACCAACGCAGAGUUUGAUUCCAGAGUGAUUCCUUGAUUCCUUUCCACAACCGUUACAGCAGGGACAAGGGAUUCCACAUUCAUUGUGCACAGUAAUGGCCAGUGAACCACAGGGGUGUGAGAGCUGUUUGUAUGUGUUUGUGUUUUAGUUCUGUUCCCCAGGGUCAGUGUGAAGGCUUUAGCGCUCCGAAGACACAGUGUGGCAGGGCCAUUAACUCAUAAAUCCAAUACAGGCCACCUCAACACUAUUUGUCUUCUGCCAAUAGACAACAAGAUGGGAUGACGGAGCAGAGAGGAGGAUCAAUGGCUCCCCUGACUGUCAGUCCGCUCACUUGUUUUCACAUCUAUUUACCAGCUGCCUCUCCCACCUUAUCUCCAUUCCCUUCCCUUGCUCUCUUUUUUUGUCUGUUCAAAACCCAGGAAACUGUUGUGUUUGAAAGAAAAUGUGUUAAUACGUUAGGCCCUUGCGUUCCUGGGUAUAAACCGAAAAAGUUAAAAUAUAUUUUCUACUUACUAUUACUUACUUAGAACCAUUUCUGCAUUUAAAGUGCUGCAGAAUCUGUUACCAAAGGCUUGCAGAGAAGCUAUAAUUGAUAAUCAUGAAUCAACUGACCAAGUACUCAAGGAGUCAUUUGAUUCUCUAUGGAUGAAAAGAUGCAUGGACACUAGGUAUAUUAAUAUUCUAAAGCAGCAUUAAUACUGAUCUUUUUUUAUCUUUACAUCAGGUUAUAAUGAUGUAUUAUGAUGUUAUAUCAUAACAUGUAACAUGUUAUAAUAUUACAUUACAUGUAAUGUUAUAUGUGCAACUUCUUGAUCUUUACAUCAUGUUAUAACGUUAAAUAACAUUAUAUAUUACAUAACAUUAUAACUAUAUAUAUUUAUAUUUAUGUGUGUGUGUGUGUUUAUGAGGCAAUAUUGCCUCAUCAAUAACAUUCCGGAAGUAUUUUUUUGAUUCUUUCAUGCAUGUUUGAGAAAUCCUUUCAUCUCCCUUGGCAACCAUUCAGCUGUGAAAAAUGCCUGGGUGGACUGAACGCUAACUUCGAGCACACUGAGAAGCGCAUACACAAGCUUGAUUGACAAAGCUUUAAUCCUGGCUGUGGUAUUUUGUUUCUGACCAGGAAUGAUGCAUUUCUACAGACAGACAUUUUCAGAAAUGCAUCACUCCUGGUCAGAAACAAAACCACAGGAAGAAGGCAGAGAAGCUCCGUUUCAUCACAAAUGCUCUGUCUCAUUAACAUACUGUCAUGACAAUCAAAUUGUUAAUAGAAGUUACAUACUGUGGCUUGAAAUGUGCAAACUUGGAUCUUAAUUUUCUCUCUCCCUGACUCUGUGCUUAUCACACACACACACACACACACGCACACACACUCAGGUCAUGCCCUUCUCAUGUUUCCUCUGACACAUUGUAAUAGAUUUCGCUGUUCUUCCACACCACAUCUAAGUGGCCUCACCUUUCACUGAAAACAAAUCAGUCCUUCCCUAAGUCUGACACACACACACACACACGCAUGCACACACACUUUUUGACCACCACCUCCUUUUCUUCACACAUUUCACAUCUUUCUCUCCGUUUUCCAAUGUAUUCCCAUCUCUGACCUUCCACGUCUUUUUUCUCUCAUCUGUCUCCCAUGGGUGUUCUCCUCUUCCUGUUCGUCAAGCCCACCAUCCUUUUCUCUCUGGUCUAUCUCUCCUCACUCUAUGCCCUUCUGUAAACUCACUCUCUGCUGGAUAAUGUUUUGAAACAAACAGCUUUCGACAAACACUGAAAUGGGCUGGUUGUGAUUUUAUUCUUAAUUGAAAUCAAUAUCAUUACAGCAGAUAGCAUAUUCAGUUGCUCUGUUUUAGUUUGGUAUGAAAGUAUUUCAUGACUAUUUAGAAGUAGACUACUUUAGAAAAAUGAUUUUAAUUGGUAUCAAUUAAAAAUGUAUUCCUCCUACUUUCAGUUUCAAAGGUAUUUUUAAAUAUUUGACCUUCAUCUUUAUGGUGCCAAACAUGUUCCAACUAAUAUAGACUGGAUAUUACAAAAUAAAAUAAUACACUUUUGCUGCAGCAGAGGUAUCUUAAAUAGCCACAAAAUCGCUAAAGAGAUUUUCAUCAGUUUGUAAUUAUAAUGUUAUAAUACAAAUAAUCCAUGCAAAAUAUCUUUCAUUGAUAUUUUGUGUAUUGGAAAUGGACAACAUUUAGAAAUAUUACAUGUUAAUGUUUAAGAAUUGAUAGUAUAAUAAAAUGCAAAAAAUAUAGUAGCUAUAUAAUAAUUACAAAAUAUAUAUGAAGUAUCCCCUUUAGUGUCCAAUUAACAAGAUGCAGGAGAUAAAUAAAAAUGCUGAACAAUUAAGAUUGUAAAAACUCAAGAACAAUUCACUCAUAAAAUGCAGAAAAUAUUAUAUUAUUAGUAAUAUUAUUUCCCUCAAUUAGCCCUUGUGAACCCUCCAGGUGAAUAUGGACUCUUUGUCUCCAAGUCUGAAAUCCACCGGCGCCAUUCUGCAGGUGAAAUUAAAUGGUGACAUUAGAUUGUAAAUCCAAGUCUGGCCUUUUUGUUGCAGCUUUUUCCUGCUGUAACAAAAAGGCCGUUUUGUCCAAGUUAGAUUUUUUAAAAGAUCAUCCAAGCCCACCCCUUAAUCAUGGUAACAUGAUUUAUUUUCGGGUCACACAAGCUGCCCUCCCUCACCUUCAUUUUGUCCAAAAUGGAGCGAUUUGUCUUUUCACUCUUUGUCUCGAUCCCACAGGCAUAUCACUUCUGUGCUGAGUGCUCUUCACUGGCUCCCUGUGUGCCACAGAAUUGAUUUCUAUAUUCUUACAUGAAGAAUAUAAAAAUUUGUGAAUGUUUUAAUGGACUCGCUCAACUCUGUCUCAGACUUGCUUUACUCGUGCUCGUCUUCAAGUCCUCUGAGGUCAGCUGACCAGUUGCUCUCCAGAGAUGAGGCCGAAGUUCAAAGAUGACUGGACUUUUGCAGUAUCAGGACCUAAGUUAUAGAACUGGGAUUCAUUUUAGACCAGCUCCUUCACUGGCCUCUUGA